GCGUUGUGUAACACCAUUAUUUUUGUAACUUAACAUUUCGUUUAUUGUUUACAUUCUGUUUGUUUACUUUGUUAGUCUUGUCAAGUAUCAGCUGUCAAAUUCGACACACAGGAUAGAUUUUCAGUUGUUGUCUGUGGUCCUUUGAGAAAACUCGUGCCAGAUCGUCAUCGGACAGUGGUCAGUGGCGACAUGACGCUCAGAACAAUGAUCGUGCUGACUAGCCACAGAGUAGUUUUGUGACGAUGAGCUGACAUCCCCGGUGACGGCUUUUUUCGGAACUGGCAAGGAGGCAAACCAUUCUCUGUCAGAACGUCUCGAGUAAAUGUGUGGUUAGAUUUUUCUUCCCGCCCGCGUGGCGCAGGCCGUAUUGGUACCAAGUUCCUUGCUUCAUAUUUCCUGGUGAGUAUUUCGAUCGUGGGUUCAGGUUAUCUGAUUGGUCUACGAGAUAGAUUCUGACUAAGUUGUUUCUUUGCAGUUACCAGAUACGUGCCACAGACACCCACGCAGCAUCACACCAUGUGUACCUAACCUGAAUUGCCGAGUGAGUAAACUAGCAUUUCGUUGUUAUUCGAUUUCCGAUGACUUUGGAUUUCGAAAGCCAUCUGCCUUGUCUUUAUUUCUACACGUAGCAACGUCUAACCCCGCGUAUUUCUUUUACAGCAAUUUCAAUCCUGCCCGGUGAAGCGUGCGAUUGCCAGACGCGUGUCACCAGACCCAACCCCAAGGUAAGCGCCAUGACCUUCCACGUGUCGAUUAGGUUAUUUUGCAAGUGUCACGUUUAAACAGCAAAGCUACCGCCUUUGAGACGAGAUCUAACCUUCCCAUAAUCGUUUGAUUAGUGAUUGACCGUAGGUUUUAGGUUAGAAAUACCCAGGGGCCAUUCAAGACACGUCACUUGAGACAUGUUAGCUAGGCCUUCGCUGUCCUUAACGACCCAUCCUUGACCCAAGGCUGUUUCUCGCGAUUCCAGAAGGUGUCGUUGGUGACCAGAGCCGUCAGCGAGCCACGAGCCGUCCGGAGCUCCUGUCCUGGCCCCGUCCGGCAGUCCAGGUUGGCCGUUGUAUGUUCGUUGAGCGGAUACUGAGGAAUUUCCUUAGGAUUUCUAUUAAUCUUCAGCGGCAUCAGCCUUCUAACGCCGCUGCUGAAUGUAGGAUUGCAAAGGCAGAACCCGGGUGGACUCUAGCGGGUUAAAACCUUUAUUUUAUUUUUUUUUACUUCGUAGGGAGCCCCGUUAGAACGGGCAGUAGUAUCUAAAUUGCACUUUGAACCUUUUGUAGGCGCUAGGCUAUCAACGUCCUUCGGUUACGGGGCCUUAACGUUAAACUGCUAUCCCAUUGAAGUAAUAUAGAAGUUUCUCUGGGGUUAAUACCAUCUUUCUAUCCCUGUGGCGUGAAACACAGGGGUAGAACCUUUGGUUUCCCCACUUUAAUGUAAUUUCCUUGCAAUACCUUGUAUACUUCAACCAGACAAUUAUAAGGACUUAAUCCCUGGUCUCAUUUUAGACCUAUUUGAGUUAUAAAAUAUUGUGUGAGGCAGGGUUUGGAUAAAUAAAUAUUAAUAACUGUACCACAUUCUGAUAUUUUUAUUUUCCACCUCAUUGUAAUUUCACUACCCACUACACAGUGGAAAAUAGGCUUACAUUUGGCGCCCGAGCAGAGUUUAAUCCGUUAGCUUAUAGUCUAAUCUAUCGCUUAGACAGGCCUGAGUCUACCCGGGGGGUAAUUAGAAAUUAAUUAGUAUUAUAAUUUCUUGUGUGUGUUUUGCGUGUGUCAUCGUGACGUGCUGACAGAGAAUCACUGCAGAAGGUUUCUUUUUUUUUAAUUUAUUAACUUAAUAAGGCUAUAUUUUUCUGUGUGGAUAUUGUGUUAAAAAUUUUAACCUCUUAUUUCAGACAUUUUAUUUUAUUGACUUAACAUGCCUUAUUUUUUUGUUGAGAUUGCGUUAAAUUUGUAUAACCUCUUAUUCCAAACGUUAUUGAAAGGAAAACCUUCUGCUGGAAUUUUAUUUAGUUAAUUAUUGAACAGUUGGUGAUUGUUUUUAAACAAUUUUGCUGAGACAUUGUUAUUGUCUGUUUAACUUAAACACUCAACUUUUAAUAAUUACAGUUUUGUUUUAUCAAUUUUUUAUAAAAAAUAACCAAAUUUUUUUACAAGGUCAACCUUUUAUGAGUUAAUGUAUUGUUUUACACAUCAUUUAACUGUCAGUUAUAACUUAACUUUACUUAAGUUUAAUAUUGUACUUAGACUUACUGAAACACACUUUAAUGGGAAAGCAUUUAUUUUUAUAUUGGUGUUUAUUGUUCGACCUUUACAUUGAACGUUGAUACAGCCUGGGAUCACAAAUUGAUUUACAAGGUCAACCUUUUAUGAGUUAAUGUAUUGUUUUACACAUCAUUUAACUGUCAGUUAUAACUUAACUUUACUUAAGUUUAAUAUUGUACUUAGACUUACUGAAACACACUUUAAUGGGAAAGCAUUUAUUUUUAUAUUGGUGUUUAUUGUUCGACCUUUACAUUGAACGUUGAUACAGCCUGGGGUCACAAAUUGAUUUGAACGUGUGCUACCUUAGGGAUUAGAUCCAUAUUGUUGUAACAUCAUGGGGGAACGUCCGAUAUGUUUCAACCUUUUAUUAAAAGAUGAAUUGACAUACGAGGCCACAGUCCGAGGUGUCAAACCUGAGGCCACUGCGGACCAAUUAAGAUUACAAUUAACAGAAUUGGCUACGCGGAUGCCUUCGGACGAGGUUAUUUACUUUGAGGGAGAUGUUACCUCAGAGUUAGAAAAAGUUAAAAACAAAAUUAAAGACUUGCAGAGCUCACUUUCAAAACCAAAUUUGCAGUUAAAACACAUCAAGCGUUGCGAAUCAUUGGCUAACCAUUUAUAUCACCGCUUAGGUCGUAUAAAUGCCGUCAGUAAGGAGGAGACUUGUAUGCUCGGGGACUUGCUCUUACAACUCGAAUCUAGGGACAGCGAACUGAAGUACAUUUCUAAAGCUUAUCAGGAGCAGGAAAAGAAACAGGAUAUCCCUGUCGUAGGGUGUAUAGAGCCAUGUCCUAAGGUGGACCACACACAGAUCCAAAAACUGAACCUUGUCUUUAACGGCAGUGAUAGUGUACAGGCAUUCGUGCAGCGACUGGAGGAGCUUUGCAAUUCUCGAGGUAUCUCUGUAGAGACGUUAUUUAAUUCCGUCGCAGAAAUUUUUAGCGGUGACGCCUUGUUUUGGUUUCGGGGUGUCAAGGAGGAGGUCUCGAGUUGGAAAGAGGUUAAGGCUCGUUUGUAUGAGGAGUUCCUGCCAUUCGAUUAUAAUCGGCGUUUAUUACAGGAGGUGCGGUCGCGGACACAAGGUGCUGAUGAAUCCAUCAUAAAGUACUUAAGCACAAUGCGGAAUUAUUUUUCUAGGCUCAGCGUGCCGUUACCGGAGUCAGAGCAGCUGGAGAUAGUACAAGGUAACCUUAGACCGUUUUACACGAGUCAGCUUGCUCUUACAAACGUCGGGAACUGGAACGAGCUGAAGGAACGCUGUAGGCAGCUGGAGUACGCCAAAUACCGAGCAGACUCUUUCGCGGAGCCGCCCCGAGUUUCUGCGAAUUCGGUAGCGCCGGACUUAGCCUAUCAGGCUAGGAACCGACUUUCGGUUAACGCCGUAGACACCGAGGUGGACUUAUUUUGCGUUCGUUGCAGGGUUCUUGGACAUGACCUUUGGCAAUGUAGUGCACCACCCACCCAAUUGUGUUACUCUUGUGGUUUAAAGGGUGCCACCUUGCACACGUGUCCACGGUGUGGUCCGUCAGUCGCUGAGCCACCGAAACUACAACAAAAGCCAGAUCCUGCUGGACCAACCGUUGCUGGGGUAAGCGUGAACAACGAGCAGCCUGGAACCAAAUCCUCCGGCAGUGGUAGUCGUCGUCGUCGCCGUCGCCGCCACCGCCGUCGCCGCCGCUGUGAAGAGGCAGGUGAUGGAGACGCGGACAGUGGCUUGCGACCUUAUUUAGAUGUCGCGAUUUACCACCAUCGUUGCAGAGGGUUGUUGGAUUCGGGUUCUACAGUUUCGGUCAUUGGCGGAAAGGCGGCCCAAUCCCUCUCCAGUUGUGGUACGUUGUAUCCAGCUGAGGAGAAAUCCAUUAUCACGGCUAAUGGAUCACAUUCUCCGGUUUCUGGUUUUAAGAUUUUACCGGUGACUGUAGAGGAUGUUACGGCUUUCGUGAAAUUUUAUGUCGUUCCUGAUAUUUCUUCAGAAUUGCUGUUAGGUAUAGAUUUCUGGCGUGCUUUUAAUAUCGCACCUGAUGUUCUGAACCUACUCAAUAAAAGAGGAGUCUCUAAAAGCAGGGAACCGUAUGCAAGUGAGGUUAGACAUUUGAACUCAUGCAACGAGUUGAGUGCUUCGAAGUGUGUACCGGCUGAUAACGCUACUGCCAGUUUGGUAGUUCGUGGUCGUCGCUCACAGGAUUGCCAACUCAGUAGGGUUCGUCGAAGCAUGGAUUCAAAGUCGUACUUGACUGCUAGUUUGACUCCGAAUUACGAGAGGUGUACAGUAGUUCAACAAGUGUCUGGAUUUGUCUACAUUCUUGAAGAUAGCAAUGGGAACCAGACAGAGUGUCACGCCAGGGAUAUUCUCUGUAGAAUUGAUGUUCCGUAGGCCACCUUUGUGUGUGUUGACUUACUCUAUUGAGUAAGCCAGCAAUGCCAAGGGCUCAUUUACUAUGCGUCGUCGUGUUGCAAAGUCAGUGAAUAGUUUCGUAGGCUACCUUUGUGUGUGUUGACUUACUCUAUUGAGUAGGCCAACAAUGCUAAGGACUCAUUCACUUUGCGUCGUGGAGUUUUUUUUUUGUGGGAUUUUCCAUUUAAUUUAUUUCAGGGUUUAUCUCAUUGCUUAGGGACUCUACUGAGUCGGUGAGUGAUCUUAACCUUAUUGAUAUUCGCUGGGUUUUCCAGCUAUUAUCUUUGAUUUAGGUUUCUCUUAAAUGAGUGACCCACAUAUUCCGAUUGUUUUAGGUGUUUAGGAUUUAAAGAUGGAGGGCCAUCUUUGAAUUUUUCUCGUACCCUCGAAAAAUUCUGGUGGGUACUGUAACACCAUUAUUUUUGUAACUUAACAUUUCGUUUAUUGUUUACAUUCUGUUUGUUUACUUUGUUAGUCUUGUCAAGUAUCAGCUGUCAAAUUCGACACACAGGAUAGAUUUUCAGUUGUUGUCUGUGGUCCUUUGAGAAAACUCGUGCCAGAUCGUCAUCGGACAGUGGUCAGUGGCGACAUGACGCUCAGAACAAUGAUCGUGCUGACUAGCCACAGAGUAGUUUUGUGACGAUGAGCUGACAUCCCCGGUGACGGCUUUUUUCGGAACUGGCAAGGAGGCAAACCAUUCUCUGUCAGAACGUCUCGAGUAAAUGUGUGGUUAGAUUUUUCUUCCCGCCCGCGUGGCGCAGGCCGUAUUGGUACCAAGUUCCUUGCUUCAUAUUUCCUGUUACCAGAUACGUGCCACAGACACCCACGCAGCAUCACACCAUGUGUACCUAACCUGAAUUGCCGAGUGAGUAAACUAGCAUUUCGUUGUUAUUCGAUUUCCGAUGACUUUGGAUUUCGAAAGCCAUCUGCCUUGUCUUUAUUUCUACACGUAGCAACGUCUAACCCCGCGUAUUUCUUUUACAGCAAUUUCAAUCCUGCCCGGUGAAGCGUGCGAUUGCCAGACGCGUGUCACCAGACCCAACCCCAAGGUAAGCGCCAUGACCUUCCACGUGUCGAUUAGGUUAUUUUGCAAGUGUCACGUUUAAACAGCAAAGCUACCGCCUUUGAGACGAGAUCUAACCUUCCCAUAAUCGUUUGAUUAGUGAUUGACCGUAGGUUUUAGGUUAGAAAUACCCAGGGGCCAUUCAAGACACGUCACUUGAGACAUGUUAGCUAGGCCUUCGCUGUCCUUAACGACCCAUCCUUGACCCAAGGCUGUUUCUCGCGAUUCCAGAAGGUGUCGUUGGUGACCAGAGCCGUCAGCGAGCCACGAGCCGUCCGGAGCUCCUGUCCUGGCCCCGUCCGGCAGUCCAGGUUGGCCGUUGUAUGUUCGUUGAGCGGAUACUGAGGAAUUUCCUUAGGAUUUCUAUUAAUCUUCAGCGGCAUCAGCCUUCUAACGCCGCUGCUGAAUGUAGGAUUGCAAAGGCAGAACCCGGGUGGACUCUAGCGGGUUAAAACCUUUAUUUUAUUUUUUUUUACUUCGUAGGGAGCCCCGUUAGAACGGGCAGUAGUAUCUAAAUUGCACUUUGAACCUUUUGUAGGCGCUAGGCUAUCAACGUCCUUCGGUUACGGGGCCUUAACGUUAAACUGCUAUCCCAUUGAAGUAAUAUAGAAGUUUCUCUGGGGUUAAUACCAUCUUUCUAUCCCUGUGGCGUGAAACACAGGGGUAGAACCUUUGGUUUCCCCACUUUAAUGUAA